GAGGCCCUUUCGUCAUGCUUGUCUCAAAGAUUAAGCCAUGCAUGUCUAAGUACAUACUUUUGCACGGUGAAACCGCGAAUGGCUCAUUAAAUCAGUUAUGGUUCCUUAGAUCGUUCAUAUUACAUGGAUAACUGUGGUAAUUCUAGAGCUAAUACAUGCAAAAAGCUCCGACCGUAUGGGAAGAGCGCUUUUAUUAGACCAAAACCAAUGGGGUCGCAAGAUCCCUUUGUAUGGUGACUCUGGAUAACUUUGUGCUGAUCGCAUGGCCUCGAGCCGGCGACGUAUCUUUCAAAUGUCUGCCCUAUCAACUUUCGAUGGUAAGCGAUUUGCCUACCAUGGUUGCAACGGGUAACGGGGAAUA
rnacentral:rRNA from 1 species